rnacentral:lncRNA from 10 species
CAAAGUAUUGCUCCUGGAUGUGUCUGUGAGGGUGUUGCCAAAGGAGAUUAACAUGUGGGUCAGUGGACUGGGAGAGGCAGACCCACCCUCAAUCUGAGUGGGCACCAUCUAAUCAGCUGCCAGCCAGCCAGGACAAAAGCAGGCAGAGGAACAUGGAAGGACUGGACUUACUGAGUCUUCUGGCCUCCAUCUUUCUCCAGUUCUGGAUGCUUCCUGCCCUCGAACAUCAGACUCCACAUUCUUCAGCUCUUUGACUCUUGAACAUACACCAGUGAUUUUCCAGGGACUCUCAGGCCUUUGGCCACAGACUGAAGGCUGCUCUGUCGGCUUCCCUACUUUUGAGGUUUUGGGACUCACACUGGCUUCCUUGCUCUUCAGCUUGUAGAUGGCCUAUUGAGGGACUUCGCCUUGUAAUCAGGUCUGUCUAGAGAUGUGGUUGGCAGAUUUAUGACCCCCAAAGAUGUCUACAUCCUAAACCCAGGAAUCUGUUGCUAAGACUGAGUAAAACAAGAAAAGCAAUGGGGAACCUCACUCACAUCCAUGCUUCCUUGUCUCAUCUGUAUGUAUGAUUUUUGCACAACUUAUUUGAUACUUUGGACAUAAAGCAAGGUCUAGAAGUUUGGCUCAGAGUACCUACAUGGGACCUAUCCAUCACAGCAGCCUAAGUGUAGUUAGCUUUAUUCCACAGUAACGGGAUUCCAAGGGAAUGAGACGGGGAGAUAGGAAGCUCUCUUAUUCCUAAACUCUUAUUACAGUCUCCACUGUUUCCAGCCUCCUCAUGUAUGUCCAGAGUCAACAACAGGCCUAGAAAGCUGGAAAUGGAAGCAGCAGAAACCUUUGUUCCUCCAGGGUUUAGGAUGGCAAUGGGGAACAAGUGUUCAUCCCUAUAUUGCACACAGCACUCAUCCUGUUCACAGAUCCACAGGAAAUAACUAGAGCUCAUCAGUCCUCCUAGGCCAUGAAUUUUCAAAACAAUCCUAGCACCUAUGGGGCAUCGUGGUCAUCCAAGCCCUAAGAAGGCUGCUGUCCAUCCAGUCAAGGCUAUCGGAGGGUGUCUGAGGUGUCCUCUCCCUCCUUAUCUGCACCCCUUCCCCUUCCUGCCUUCUCAGCCAGCAGCAGCAUUGCUUCAUUGAGGAAACCUGCACAACACACAAGCAACUAAGAGGCUUCUGGAUUUCAAAAGCCUGAGUUUUGAAGAUCUCAGCCUCCAGCAUUUAUGUCAUAAACAAAAUAUUUGGACCAUUGAUGGAGAGACUUUUACCCUCAGGCUAGAUUAAGAUUCACUAAUCAAGAGAAAGAAAAGAAGCAAAUCGGACCUGAAGAAGGUAGCUGAACCUUGAAGAGGGGAAUAACAGAAACUCAAGGUCAGGUGGAAAAAUCCAAGAGUACUUUACUGAGUUGUGAUGAGGAGACUCAUAGAAGCUUCACAUUUCUCUGACUGGGGCCAACAGGUCCUCCUCCCACACUCUGGACAGCCAGAUUCCUAUUUGGCAUUAAUCUGUGUGUUCCACAGUCCGCUUCUACAGCCUCAGGAAACCUCCCGUCAACACUGGGACCUCGGUAUGGGGCAAAUUUCAGGAGGAAAAGAAUAAAAGGAAUAAAAGUUAAGUCCUCCAGUAUUUUUUGGCAGAAAGGUGAGGAGCAAAGUUCCAAUGACUCAGGAUCAGUGAUAGAAGUUGUUGGUCCAUGGGGAAAAGAAUUGGGCAUCUCCAGCUCUGUGAUCUUUCUUCCAGGCCCUUGACCUGCCACCAGCAUUUUACAUACCCACGCAUACACACACAAUUAUAUUCCCCAAAAAUACUCCCCAAAGAGGAUUUCCAGAGUGCUUUUAGAUCCUUUGACAUUUCCAACCUCUCCUCCAGUGAUUUAAAAAAAAAAUCUUCACUAGAAUCAUAAUGUCUCUGGUAUUUCUUUUCAAGAAAUUCCAAUCACAUAAUUGAACAGGGUUGAGUUGUAGGAGAGGGUUAAGAAGAACAGGCUCUCUGAGUGACAGUCACACUCAGGCGCCAUCUGGCUGCAACCCACUGUAUCAACAGCCAAACCAUGAGGUCCACACAGGUUACACUGGCGGGUACGCAGAGGCAGGGACAUCUAUCUAGUAGCAAGGCGCCUCACUGUGCAGAUCUGGGCACAUAGCUUCAUCGGAAUUCCUCCCACACCAGCCUCAAACAAGCUGCCCUUUACUGAGUGAGGUUUUCAGGGGAUGCAGGUAGGAAAAGAUUAAACAGUGAAUAACUUUAUUUAUUAUUCCUAACCCAUAGCCAUCUCGGAGGGCUGGAAUAGCUCCCUGGCUCCCUGGGUCUCAGAGAUGCCUAUAGGUCUAGGCUGUGGGUACGCCUGUGGUUUGGGGUUUGUUCUGCUUUCAUUGUGAGCCAAACCUCCAACAAUCCCUACACCCUGGGUGGUUACUAUUGAUUUUUUUUUUU